AAGGGUACAGCUCAGCGGUAGAGCACUUUCCUAGUAUAUAUGAGGCCCUGGGUUCAAUUCCUAGUACCUUUU
rnacentral:tRNA from 1 species